UGGCCAGUUCAGCAUGGCAAAGCAGGGAAGGGGUCAAGUGACUGGUGUCUGCAGGGAUGGAAGACCCUGACAGUGAGAGCUGCGUCCAAGCUUGUUGCUCCAAGGUGUGCUGAGGAAGUUGGAAAGAAGCUCAGACUCAAGUGCUGAGGAGGGGAGAGUUGAUACUGCAGCCUGAUCAAGGCUCAAGAGAAGGCUGUCCUGCUAACCUGCUCCCUCUCCAGCCAGGAUAGACUUCCUCAACUACGAAAGCCAAGCCAAGCUGGUCUCUGCCCUCCUGUGAGAUGCCUUCUGUGCCUCUUGAAAAUGCUUUUUCGGUUGUCCUUGUUUAAAAACAAAAAAAAAAAAAAGUUUGCAUAAUAAAGUCAGUUCUGAGG